GGGCUUUAAAUACGCCUUUAAAGGGAUAUCUGUCGGAAGAAGAGACGUAGCGCUAGCUUCCGCCGACGUCAGGGUAGAUCUGCAUAAAGGGGCGGGGUCUUGGCGUUGGUAUACAAAGUAGGCAACAGAGGCAGAUUUUUUUUUUAAAGGGCAAUGCAACACAAAUGGCAUUUGUUUGAAAUUCCUAUUUUUAUGCUUAGUCUUAAUUUGAGGUAAGACAAUUUUUACAUCACAAUAUAUAUCACAAUCAUAUAUUAUACCUGCUAAAUUAUUCCUUAAUCUACCGUAAAAUUAAUAUUCUUAAGUUUCUUUUUAUAUUAUUUUUUCACAUGAGAUUUGAGCAAUGCUUCAUUGAUAAAGACCUGCAGGUCCUAUGUUUUGUGUGUGUGUGUGUGUGUGUGUGUGUGUAUCAUUUUUAAUAUUUUAUUACUAUCCCCUAUUUUUUAAUCUCUCUUCAAUUUCUGUUCUUUCUGUCUGUUUUUUUGUGUAGCACUUCACACGUGUGUGUGCGCGUGUGUGUGUGUGUGUGUGUGUGUGUGUGUGUGUGUGUGUGUGUGUGUGUGUGAGUGAGAAAUAAGUCAUGUUGUCAUUGUUCCUUUAUAUUUUAUUUUUAUUGUACUGUUAUUACUGUUAUUGUUAUUAACAGUGUUUUUUUAUGACAUACUGCCCUUAAAAGUUGUAAAUAUUUAAAAGAUCUGGACAUUCCUUCCAUUGUUAUUUUUUCAACUAUUGCAUUUAUGAAGAAAACUGCAGGCUGCUGGUCACACAAAGUAUGUGAAUACAUUCGUCAUUGGAGGAGUGAAAAACUCUUGAGGCUUCUCCAGCAUUCCUAAUGAUUGUUAGUUUUUGUCCAGCCAACAAUUUUAACAACACACAACAACAAGAAAAAUGGGGCUUGUACAGUAUAGUAGUUAGUGCGUGCGCCCUAUGUGUGGAGGCUGUAGUCCUCCAGGAGGGCGGUCCUGGUUCGAAUCUGACAUUUGGCUUCUUUACCUCAUGUCAUUCCCCACUUUCUCUCUCCCCGAUUUCUGACUCUAUCCACUGUCCUAUCUCUAAAUAAAGGCAUAAAAAUCCCCAAAAUAAACUUUAAUACAACAACAACAAGACAAUUAGAGCACACAAAAGGGGGAAGGUUAAAAGCUUGGGGGGGGGGCUCUGGAUCUUCCUCUGCCUCUCUCUCUGUAUAAGCAUCUAUAAUGAUUGCCAGCUUCGGCCUCUGAGGCCCUGUUAGAGGAGGAACCGAGCUGAAAAACACGGACAGAUGUCAAGAUGUAUUUAAGAGUGCCAGUCAAAAGAAUUAUCCCCUGCAUGUAACAAUUUGCAAAUACUUUGCCUGCCCUGGAGGAUGACAUGUUGGUCUUCUACAGUUCUGUCAUAACAUGCAUGAACACCAAAACUAUAAAGAUAUAAUGGGCUGAUGUCUGCGGCAGUAAAUAGUUGUACAUAUUUGUAAGGAACAACUCAGCAGGACAAAUCCAUAACAUAUUACGUCACCUUGAUAUCAUUAAAUGUAUCUUUACUGAACUGCAAUUUUCUUUUGAAUUGAAUGAUUGAAGGAGAAGCAAAACACAAGUGCUAUCAAAGCCUUCUAAAACACUCUGUGCCAUAGUGCUCAUCUUCACUGUUACCAGUCAUUUUUAAAUUCAUGGUAUUGUUCUGUAAGUUUUUUCAUUGAUUCUUAAAUGUCAUGAUUAAACUUUUUAUUAUGAAAAUGAUUUCAUAAAAUCAGCAUCACAGUUAUCCUGUAUCUGAUUUUCUUCAUUACUGGUCACAAGUGUGAGUCAGUUCCUCUUACAUCAUCCCGUAGUUUUAAAAAACUCAAUAUCUCCUCAUAUUUGUUUAAUUUUCAGCCUUUCCUCUUCUUAAUGAUUUAAGGUGAAAUAAUGUCAUAAUACCAGUUGUUAUAUGAGAUGUUACCAGCAGGUCAGUGUGAAUUAGACUAGCUAAAGUUUUAAGUGUGCAAAAACCUAAUAAAUAUAGUUUUUUCCUCCUUAUUUUAAUUGUUGCUCCAUUUAUCAUUUAUGCAUAAAAUUUGUUAAGUUCUCAGAGAUUCUUCAAAGAUUGACAUCCUCAGUUGGAACAAAUAACCUUGAGGCUGGGAGACAAGACCAAGCUCGGGAGUCACCCCUGCUUCCUGUAAGUCAAAGUUUGUGGAUUAAAGGAAACUUAUUUAAAGCUGCAGGAGACACAGAGGACAACUUAUCUUCCACUGCAGCCGAGGCAUGAGUGGAGCUGCACGGGAUAAUAAGGGGCACUCGUGGCCUAGUGGUGAGUUUGCAUGACCCAUGAACAGAGGCUGCUGUCCUAACAAGGAGUCACUGGUCGGGCUUGAACCUCUGCUUGGAGGGCUCUAGCCUCUGUACAUGGGGUGCAGCCGAACCGCCAUCAUCAGCGCUCAAAUACGGUUUACUGUUUUGAACUAAAAGGUGCUUAAAUAAUUCUUGAAAUGUGCCCCCCUUUUGCUCAGUGAAUGUAUUGACAUGUUAUCUAAUUUCCCACGUGAUACAUAAACAAAGCAGUCUAUCUGUUAGCGCAGAAAAUCUAUGUUUCAAUAUUGUCAAUGUUUAUUCACUGGAUCUCUGUUUUGUUGAAAGUUUUCAGUUUGAUCAGUUCUCAUCCCAAACCUUCAUCUACUGUAACUCCUCUUGUGGCCAAACAGCACCCUCUUCUGGGGAUCUCAGGGAAUUGCAAACUCUGUCAAUGUUCAAGAAAAUCCUUUGCAUCCAGUAUGUAGU